GCGAUUAUUCGCACCAUUCCGAGAAUGGUGGGUUAGCGCGCGUCCGAAACAGACAUCAAUAACCCGCCCAACGAGGCGGGUUUU
rfam:Cupriavidus metallidurans CH34 megaplasmid, complete sequence.